rnacentral:rRNA from 1 species
AUUGAACGCUGGCGGCAUGCCUUACACAUGCAAGUCGAACGGCAGCACGGGUGCUUGCACCUGGUGGCGAGUGGCGAACGGGUGAGUAAUACAUCGGAACAUGUCCUGUAGUGGGGGAUAGCCCGGCGAAAGCCGGAUUAAUACCGCAUACGAUCUACGGAUGAAAGCGGGGGCCCUUCGGGCCUCGCGCUAUAGGGUUGGCCGAUGGCUGAUUAGCUAGUUGGUGGGGUAAAGGCCUACCAAGGCGACGAUCAGUAGCUGGUCUGAGAGGACGAUCAGCCACACUGGAACUGAGACACGGCCCAGACUCCUACGGGAGGCAGCAGUGGGGAAUUUUGGACAAUGGGCGAAAGCCUGAUCCAGCAAUGCCGCGUGUGUGAAGAAGGCCUUCGGGUUGUAAAGCACUUUUGUCCGGAAAGAAAUCCUUGGCACUAAUACGGUCGGGGGAUGACGGUACCGGAAGAAUAAGCACCGGCUAACUACGUG